rnacentral:rRNA from 1 species
CACAUGCAGUCGAGCGAAGUGCUUAUGAUGAAAUCUUCGGAUAGAUUCAUAAACCACUUAGCGGCGGAUGGGUGAGUAACGCGUGAGGAACCUGCCUAGUACAAGGGGAUAGCCUCGGGAAACCGGGAUUAAUACCCUAUGACACUUUUAGGUCACAUGACUUUUAAGUCAAAGCGUUUAGCGGUAUUAGAUGGUCUCGCGUCCCAUUAGCUAGUUGGUGAGAUAAUGGCUCACCAAGGCAAUGAUGGGUAGCCGGCUUGAGAGAGUGAACGGCCACACUGGAACUGAGACACGGUCCAGACUCCUACGGGAGGCAGCAGUGGGGAAUCUUGCACAAUGGAGGGAACUCUGAUGCAGCGACGUCGCGUGAACGAUGAAGGCUUUCGAGUCGUAAAGUUCUGUCCUAUGGGACGAUAAUGACGGUACCAUAGGAGGAAGCCCCGGCUAACUACGUGCCAGCAGCCGCGGUAAUACGUAGGGGGCGAACGUUGUCCGGAUUUAUUGGGCGUAAAGGGUACGCAGGCGGCCAUAUAAGUCAGAUGUGAAAGGCCAAGGCUUAACCUUGGUUAGCAUUUGAAACUGUGUGGCUUGAGUUAAGGAGAGGAAAGUGGAAUUCCUGGUGUAGCGGUGAAAUGCGUAGAUAUCAGGAGGAAUACCAGUGGCGAAGGCGACUUUCUGGACUUAUACUGACGCUGAGGUACGAAAGCGUGGGGAGCAAACAGGAUUAGAUACCCUGGU